rnacentral:rRNA from 1 species
CCUACGGGAGGCAGCAGUGAGGAAUAUUGGUCAAUGGCCGGGAGGCUGAACCAGCCAAGUCGCGUGCGGGAAGACGGCCCUACGGGUUGUAAACCUCUUUUGUCAGGGAGCAACGUGCAUGUCGGGACCUGCUGUGCGAGUACCUGAAGAAAAAGCAUCGGCUAACUCCGUGCCAGCAGCCGCGGUAAUACGGAGGAUCCGGGCGUUAUCCGGAUUUAUUGGGUUUAAGGGGUGCGCAGGCGGAUGCACAAGCCGGCGGUAAAAUGGCGGGGCUAAACCCCGCCCCGCCGUUGAAACUGUGGCCCUUGAGUGCGCGAAGGGUAGGCGGAAUGCGUGGUGUAGCGGUGAAAUGCAUAGAUAUCACGAAGAACUCCGAUCGCGAAGGCAGCCUACCGGCGCGCAACUGACGCUCAUGCACGAAAGCGUGGGUAUCGAACAGGAUUAGAUACCCUGGUAGUC